AUUUAGGGGUUAUGCUUUAAGGGGUUAUGGGGAUAUAUUUAGGGUUUGGUUUUACAGUUUAGGGUUUAAGGGUUAUGCUCUAAAGUUUAUGGUUUAAGAUUUAAGAGUUACAAUUUAAGGUUUAUGGAUUAUGGGUUUAGUGAUUAUGUUUUACGGUUUAGGGUUUAAGUGCUGGGGUUUAAAGUUUAGGGGUAAUUGGGAUUAAUGUUUAGGGUGUAUAAUUUUGG
rnacentral:lncRNA from 1 species